GAUGAACGCUGGCGGCGUGCCUAAUACAUGCAAGUCGAGCGAACGGACGAGAAGCUUGCUUCUCUGAUGUUAGCGGCGGACGGGUGAGUAACACGUGGAUAACCUACCUAUAAGACUGGGAUAACUUCGGGAAACCGGAGCUAAUACCGGAUAAUAUUUUGAACCGCAUGGUUCAAAAGUGAAAGACGGUCUUGCUGUCACUUAUAGAUGGAUCCGCGCUGCAUUAGCUAGUUGGUAAGGUAACGGCUUACCAAGGCAACGAUGCAUAGCCGACCUGAGAGGGUGAUCGGCCACACUGGAACUGAGACACGGUCCAGACUCCUACGGGAGGCAGCAGUAGGGAAUCUUCCGCAAUGGGCGAAAGCCUGACGGAGCAACGCCGCGUGAGUGAUGAAGGUCUUCGGAUCGUAAAACUCUGUUAUUAGGGAAGAACAUAUGUGUAAGUAACUGUGCACAUCUUGACGGUACCUAAUCAGAAAGCCACGGCUAACUACGUGCCAGCAGCCGCGGUAAUACGUAGGUGGCAAGCGUUAUCCGGAAUUAUUGGGCGUAAAGCGCGCGUAGCGGUUUUUUAGUCUGAUGUGAAAGCCCACGGCUCAACCGUGGAGGGUCAUUGGAAACUGGAAAACUUGAGUGCAGAAGAGGAAAGUGGAAUUCCAUGUGUAGCGGUGAAAUGCGCAGAGAUAUGGAGGAACACCAGUGGCGAAGGCGACUUUCUGGUCUGUAACUGACGCUGAUGUGCGAAAGCGUGGGGAUCAAACAGGAUUAGAUACCCUGGUAGUCCACGCCGUAAACGAUGAGUGCUAAGUGUUAGGGGGUUUCCGCCCCUUAGUGCUGCAGCUAACGCAUUAAGCACUCCGCCUGGGGAGUACGACCGCAAGGUUGAAACUCAAAGGAAUUGACGGGGACCCGCACAAGCGGUGGGGCAUGUGGUUUAAUUCGAAGCAACGCGAAGAACCUUACCAAAUCUUGACAUCCUUUGACAACUCUAGAGAUAGAGCUUUCCCCUUCGGGGGACAAAGUGACAGGUGGUGCAUGGUUGUCGUCAGCUCGUGUCGUGAGAUGUUGGGUUAAGUCCCGCAACGAGCGCAACCCUUAAGCUUAGUUGCCAUCAUUAAGUUGGGCACUCUAAGUUGACUGCCGGUGACAAACCGGAGGAAGGUGGGGAUGACGUCAAAUCAUCAUGCCCCUUAUGAUUUGGGCUACACACGUGCUACAAUGGACAAUACAAAGGGCAGCGAAACCGUGAGGUCAAGCAAAUCCCAUAAAGUUGUUCUCAGUUCGGAUUGUAGUCUGCAACUCGACUACAUGAAGCUGGAAUCGCUAGUAAUCGUAGAUCAGCAUGCUACGGUGAAUACGUUCCCGGGUCU
rnacentral:rRNA from 1 species